CCAUAUAAAGCACAGUUUGUUGUCAAGUUGCAAUUAUUAUGAGGCAAAAUACAAGCUAACGUCUGGGGAAGAAAUGAUGAACUGAAGCGAGCUGACAACCGCACUGAAGUGCCAGUAGAUGGAUCAGCACUUCAGGAUUCCCCUCUGGACAAGGAGAGAACUUGUGUUCACCCACAAGUGCUCCAGACAGUUGCUUCUUGUGAGGAAUGGAGGGGGGACUGCAAGAUAUUGAUCUUUGGCACAUGGCUGAUGUCCUAUAGCAGAAGAAAGAAGAGAGAGAGAGAGAAGAAAGAAAGAAGAGAGAGAGAGAGAAGAAAGAAAGAAGAAAGACAGACAGACAAAGAAAGAAAGAAAGAAAGAACAAAAAAGGAAGGAAGAAAGAAAGAAAGAAAGAAAGAAAGAAAGAAAGAAAGAAAGAAAGAAAGACAGACAUGAAAACUCCAAAUCAUUUGGGUUUUCCUGGUGAAUAAAUGGUGAAAGGGGUAAGACUUGGUUGAGACUUUUGAAAAAGGGGCAGAAUUUGUGAAUGCUUAUUUAUGUGGCUGAUAUUGUAGGGAAUAAUUUCCCACAGCAGUUUUGGGAGGGGGCUGAUGCAAAAAAUUACCAUAUGAGCUGAGAUUGUGCCCCUGUGGAGAAGGGACCAUUGAAACAAUAGCUCACGUCCUGCUAUACAGCAUCUUCUAUAAGGACUCAUGGACUCACCUUACCUAAACACCUUACCUAAUAAAAUAUCUGGGAAAUACUGAU